UACGGGGGGAGCAAGCGUUGUUCGGAUUUACUGGGCGUAAAGGGCGCGUAGGCGGCCACUGCAAGUCAGUUGUGAAAUCUCCGGGCUUAACCCGGAAAGGUCAGCCGAUACUGCGGGGCUAGAGUGCAGAAGGGGCAACUGGAAUUCUCGGUGUAGCGGUGAAAUGCGUAGAUAUCGAGAGGAACACCUGCGGCGAAGGCGGGUUGCUGGGCUGACACUGACGCUGAGGCGCGAAGCUAGGGGAGCGAACGGG
rnacentral:rRNA from 1 species